AGUGAACGCUGGCGGUAGGCCUAACACAUGCAAGUCGAGCGGCAGCACAGUAAGAGCUUGCUCUUACGGGUGGCGAGUGGCGGACGGGUGAGGAAUACAUCGGAAUCUACUUUUUCGUGGGGGAUAACGUAGGGAAACUUACGCUAAUACCGCAUACGACCUACGGGUGAAAGCAGGGGAUCUUCGGACCUUGCGCGAUUGAAUGAGCCGAUGUCGGAUUAGCUAGUUGGCGGGGUAAAGGCCCACCAAGGCGACGAUCCGUAGCUGGUCUGAGAGGAUGAUCAGCCACACUGGAACUGAGACACGGUCCAGACUCCUACGGGAGGCAGCAGUGGGGAAUAUUGGACAUUGGGCGCAAGCCUGAUCCAGCCAUACCGCGUGGGUGAAGAAGGCCUUCGGGUUGUAAAGCCCUUUUGUUGGGAAAGAAAAGCAGCAGGUUAAUACCCCGCUGUUCUGACGGUACCCAAAGAAUAAGCACCGGCUAACUUCGCG
rnacentral:rRNA from 1 species